CAAUAGCGUAUAUUAAAGUUGUUGCAGUUAAAAAGCUCGUAGUUGGAUUUCUGUGAGAGUGCCGGUGUCGGCUGAUGCUUGUACGCAGGCGCUCUUACAUCCUUCUGUUAACUGUUCUUGGCAUUUUAUUGCUGGUUCAGGGCUCAGAUAUUUUACCUUGAGAAAAUUAGAGUGUUUCAGGCAGGCUUAUGCCGGAAUACAUUAGCAUGGAAUAAUGGAACAGGACCUGUGCGUCUCUCGGGGCGCCGGUCUCCGUUGUUGGUUUCGGGGACUAAUCUAAUGAUUAAUAGGGAUAGUUGGGGGCAUUAGUAUUUAAUAGUCAGAGGUGAAAUUCUCGGAUUUGUUAAAGACUAACUUAUGCGAAANCANNNGCCAAGGAUGUUUUCAUNAA
rnacentral:rRNA from 1 species